ACACGUGAUUCAGAGUUUGAUCCUGGCUCAGAACGAACGCUGGCGGCGUGCUUAACACAUGCAAGUCGAACGGUGACCUCGGAGCUUGCUCCGGGCGAUCAGUGGCGAACGGGUGAGUAACACGUGACCAACCUGCCCCUUGCUCUGGGAUAACCCCGGGAAACCGGAGCUAAUACCGGAUACGAGACCGAGCGACAUCGCUCAGUCUGGAAAGUUUUUCGGCAAGGGAUGGGGUCGCGGCCUAUCAGCUUGUUGGUGGGGUAAUGGCCCACCAAGGCGACGACGGGUAGCCGGCCUGAGAGGGCGACCGGCCACACUGGGACUGAGACACGGCCCAG
rnacentral:rRNA from 1 species